rnacentral:rRNA from 1 species
AAUGAACGUUGGCGGCGUGGAUUAGGCAUGCAAGUCGAGCGAGAACCCCGCAAGGGGGGACAGCGGCAAACGGGGUAGUAAUGUGUCGGAACGUGCCCAGAGGACGGGGAUAGCGGCGGGAAACUGCCGGUAAUACCCGAUGAUCUCGGACUCUGUGAUGGAGACCGAGCAAAGGUGUGAUUCCGCCUUUGGAGCGGCCGACAUGGUAUUAGCUAGUUGGCGGGGUAACGGCCCACCAAGGCUGUGAUGCCUAGGGGAUGUGAGAGCAUGAUCCCCACCAUUGGGACUGAGACACUGCCCAGACACCUACGGGUGGCUGCAGUCGAGAAUCUUCGUCAAUGGGCGAAAGCCUGAACGAGCGACGCCGCGUGCGGGAUGAAGGCCUUUGGGUUGUAAACCGCUGUCGAGGGGGAUGAAGGUCUGAAGGUACUCCUUCAGAUUUGACAGAGCCCUGGAGGAAGCACGGGCUAAGUUCGUGCCAGCCGCCGCCGUAACAC